GGUCAGUCGGCGCAAAGGGGGAUGGGAAACGGGGUAGAGCAAGUCAGGUGCUCGGACGACAGAAUACAAACAGGGAGUCAUGUGAAACAAGGUCACACGGGCAAUUCUACCUGGAAGGUGAGCCCAAAGCCUGACCUUGCCUUCAGCUCAAAGGGUCAGUGAUCUCUGACCCUGGGGUCAGCUCGGCUGGCAAGAAAGUCAGAUGAAACAUGAGAAUUCCAUCCACCAGUUUGACUUUUAUUCGUCAGAAGCUCAGGCCAAGGAGAUCAAUGGGAAUGGAAGCAUUGAGGGCUUGGCGUGGGGGCUUUGGGUCUGCAGGGUCCAGCCUACCCUGGGGAGAAAGCACGGGCUUUGGUUCCCUUGGCCUUCUUCCCUUCUGACCUAUGGGGUCACUUCUAGAAGGUGAGGGAGAGGACGUGGAGGAUCCCCGAUUGGGCUGGAGGGUGAUGGCGACAUUAUCGGGGUCAUGGGCGAGAUGAGAAUCUCGCGGAGCCCUGUCCCGAGGCUCAGAAUCUAGGACGGGUGGGAGGGAGCACAAGCAGGGACCCCAUCUUACAAAGAGCUUACUCAAGAGCUUAAGGCGCGUUGCUUCCAACUCUUCUGCCUGGUGUUCCUGGGAGGAAUCGGGUUGGUGGGUGCACGUAGGGGACUGUGCAUGCGUGUGCGUGUGUGUGUACACCAACCAUGUUGAUGGGUGCGUGUGCACACAUGCACGUGUGGGGCCAUGUGUGCGUGGGGGUGGGGAUUUGGGGGGUGGGAGGGAGGGAGGGUUGGGGAGAAGACUUGGGCUACCCAGGCCAGGGUCAGGACCAAGUCCAGAAAUGUUUAUUCAUCACAAAUUCCCAAGUUGUUCCUCAGUUCCCUGGGGCCCAGCUUUCGGCAGCUCCCAAGGUCUCCCCCCAAACAGACAAUCUGGGGAAAGCACAGACCACACGGUCAGUGCUUAAUAAAUGCUUGUCCCUCCUCCUCCUCCUGAACCCCACCCCUCCUCAUCCCACUCUACUGUGACACCAUCACUUCUGUCCCGCCCUGGGAGGUCACAAGGAAGUAUCUGAGGCUGGCCCGGCCACAGCUCUGCUAGCUUGGGCCUUCCCCGGGCCAGGCCACAGACCAGGCUCUCCCUGAGGACCCAGGCUAGCGCCUCUCCUGCUGGGGCCAGCCCCGCUCCAGGCUCCAGGCCCAGAGGAGGAGGAGCCUGGCCUUCAGGCCUGGAAGGGCUCCGGGGGCCCAGGCCGGUCCUGCGUGCCCAGUCUGGCUUCUGUUUCCUGGGUGAGAGCCCUCCUGGCCACAGGCUGCCCCCCGACUGCUGCCCCCAGGCCUUGGGAGGAAGGCGCGGAGGAAGGAGGCCGAUCCGGAACAGCUGCGGGACCUGCCUCCGGCCCAGGGCGGGUGCUCAUCCACAGAGCUGAGAGUGAAGGGUCCCAAGCCAGCGCCCCAGGGCGGGGCGGGGCCCAAAGCCUAGGAGAGCAGAGAGCCCCA
rnacentral:lncRNA from 1 species